UACGGGGGGGGGCAAGCGUUGUUCGGAAUUACUGGGCGUAAAGGGCUCGUAGGCGGCCAACUAAGUCAGACGUGAAAUCCCUCGGCUUAACCGGGGAACUGCGUCUGAUACUGGAUGGCUUGAAUCCGGGAGAGGGAUGCGGAAUCCAGGUGUAGCGGUGAAAUGCGUAGAUAUCUGGAGGAACACCGGUGGCGAAAGCGGCUCACUGGAUCUUAUCUGACGCUGAGGCACGAAAGCCAGGGUAGCAAACGGG
rnacentral:rRNA from 1 species